GGGUUGUGAGGUUAAGCGACUAAGCGUACACGGUGGAUGCCCUGGCAGUCAGAGGCGAUGAAGGACGUGCUAAUCUGCGAUAAGCGUCGGUAAGGUGAUAUGAACCGUUAUAACCGGCGAUUUCCGAAUGGGGAAACCCAGUGUGUUUCGACACACUAUCAUUAACUGAAUCCAUAGGUUAAUGAGGCGAACCGGGGGAACUGAAACAUCUAAGUACCCCGAGGAAAAGAAAUCAACCGAGAUUCCCCCAGUAGCGGCGAGCGAACGGGGAGGAGCCCAGAGCCUGAAUCAGUGUGUGUGUUAGUGGAAGCGUCUGGAAAGGCGCGCGAUACAGGGUGACAGCCCCGUACACAAAAAUGCACAUACUGUGAGCUCGAUGAGUAGGGCGGGACACGUGGUAUCCUGUCUGAAUAUGGGGGGACCAUCCUCCAAGGCUAAAUACUCCUGACUGACCGAUAGUGAACCAGUACCGUGAGGGAAAGGCGAAAAGAACCCCGGCGAGGGGAGUGAAAAAGAACCUGAAACCGUGUACGUACAAGCAGUGGGAGCCUCUUAAUGGGGUGACUGCGUACCUUUUGUAUAAUGGGUCAGCGACUUAUAUUCUGUAGCAAGGUUAACCGAAUAGGGGAGCCGAAGGGAAACCGAGUCUUAACUGGGCGUUAAGUUGCAGGGUAUAGACCCGAAACCCGGUGAUCUAGCCAUGGGCAGGUUGAAGGUUGGGUAACACUAACUGGAGGACCGAACCGACUAAUGUUGAAAAAUUAGCGGAUGACUUGUGGCUGGGGGUGAAAGGCCAAUCAAACCGGGAGAUAGCUGGUUCUCCCCGAAAGCUAUUUAGGUAGCGCCUCGUGAAUUCAUCUCCGGGGGUAGAGCACUGUUUCGGCAAGGGGGUCAUCCCGACUUACCAACCCGAUGCAAACUGCGAAUACCGGAGAAUGUUAUCACGGGAGACACACGGCGGGUGCUAACGUCCGUCGUGAAGAGGGAAACAACCCAGACCGCCAGCUAAGGUCCCAAAGUCAUGGUUAAGUGGGAAACGAUGUGGGAAGGCCCAGACAGCCAGGAUGUUGGCUUAGAAGCAGCCAUCAUUUAAAGAAAGCGUAAUAGCUCACUGGUCGAGUCGGCCUGCGCGGAAGAUGUAACGGGGCUAAACCAUGCACCGAAGCUGCGGCAGCGACGUUUAUGCGUUGUUGGGUAGGGGAGCGUUCUGUAAGCCUGUGAAGGUGUGCUGUGAGGCAUGCUGGAGGUAUCAGAAGUGCGAAUGCUGACAUAAGUAACGAUAAAGCGGGUGAAAAGCCCGCUCGCCGGAAGACCAAGGGUUCCUGUCCAACGUUAAUCGGGGCAGGGUGAGUCGACCCCUAAGGCGAGGCCGAAAGGCGUAGUCGAUGGGAAACAGGUUAAUAUUCCUGUACUUGGUGUUACUGCGAAGGGGGGACGGAGAAGGCUAUGUUGGCCGGGCGACGGUUGUCCCGGUUUAAGCGUGUAGGCUGGUUUUCCAGGCAAAUCCGGAAAACUAAGGCUGAGGCGUGAUGACGAGGCACUACGGUGCUGAAGCAACAAAUGCCCUGCUUCCAGGAAAAGCCUCUAAGCAUCAGGUAACAUCAAAUCGUACCCCAAACCGACACAGGUGGUCAGGUAGAGAAUACCAAGGCGCUUGAGAGAACUCGGGUGAAGGAACUAGGCAAAAUGGUGCCGUAACUUCGGGAGAAGGCACGCUGAUAUGUAGGUGAAGCGACUUGCUCGUGGAGCUGAAAUCAGUCGAAGAUACCAGCUGGCUGCAACUGUUUAUUAAAAACACAGCACUGUGCAAACACGAAAGUGGACGUAUACGGUGUGACGCCUGCCCGGUGCCGGAAGGUUAAUUGAUGGGGUUAGCGGUAACGCGAAGCUCCUGAUCGAAGCCCCGGUAAACGGCGGCCGUAACUAUAACGGUCCUAAGGUAGCGAAAUUCCUUGUCGGGUAAGUUCCGACCUGCACGAAUGGCGUAAUGAUGGCCAGGCUGUCUCCACCCGAGACUCAGUGAAAUUGAACUCGCUGUGAAGAUGCAGUGUACCCGCGGCAAGACGGAAAGACCCCGUGAACCUUUACUAUAGCUUGACACUGAACAUUGAGCCUUGAUGUGUAGGAUAGGUGGGAGGCUUUGAAGUGUGGACGCCAGUCUGCAUGGAGCCGGCCUUGAAAUACCACCCUUUAAUGUUUGAUGUUCUAACGUUGGCCCCUGAUCGGGGUUGCGGACAGUGUCUGGUGGGUAGUUUGACUGGGGCGGUCUCCUCCUAAAGAGUAACGGAGGAGCACGAAGGUUGGCUAAUCCUGGUCGGACAUCAGGAGGUUAGUGCAAUGGCAUAAGCCAGCUUGACUGCGAGCGUGACGGCGCGAGCAGGUGCGAAAGCAGGUCAUAGUGAUCCGGUGGUUCUGAAUGGAAGGGCCAUCGCUCAACGGAUAAAAGGUACUCCGGGGAUAACAGGCUGAUACCGCCCAAGAGUUCAUAUCGACGGCGGUGUUUGGCACCUCGAUGUCGGCUCAUCACAUCCUGGGGCUGAAGUAGGUCCCAAGGGUAUGGCUGUUCGCCAUUUAAAGUGGUACGCGAGCUGGGUUUAGAACGUCGUGAGACAGUUCGGUCCCUAUCUGCCGUGGGCGCUGGAGAACUGAGGGGGGCUGCUCCUAGUACGAGAGGACCGGAGUGGACGCAUCACUGGUGUUCGGGUUGUCAUGCCAAUGGCACUGCCCGGUAGCUAAAUGCGGAAGAGAUAAGUGCUGAAAGCAUCUAAGCACGAAACUUGCCCCGAGAUGAGUUCUCCCUGACUCUUUAAGGGUCCUGAAGGAACGUUGAAGACGACGACGUUGAUAGGCCGGGUGUGUAAGCGCAGCGAUGCGUUGAGCUAACCGGUACUAAUGAACCGUGAGGCUUAACCUUACAACGCCGAAGGUGUUU
rnacentral:rRNA from 1 species